rnacentral:tRNA from 1 species
GCCUUCGUGGCGUAGUGGUCAGCACGCUCGACGCGUAACCGAGAGGUCCGUGGUUCGAUUCCCGGCGAAGGCG